GACGAACGCUGGCGGCGUGCCUAAUACAUGCAAGUAGAACGCUGAAGGAGGAGCUUGCUUCUCUGGAUGAGUUGCGAACGGGUGAGUAACGCGCAGGUAACCUGCCUGGUAGCGGGGGAUAACUAUUGGAAACGGUAGCUAAUACCGCAUAAUAGUAGAUGUUGCAUGACAUUUGCUUAAAAGGUGCAAUUGCAUCACUACCAGAUGGACCUGCGUUGUAUUAGCUAGUUGGUGGGGUAACGGCUCACCAAGGCGACGAUACAUAGCCGACCUGAGAGGGGGAUCGGCCACACUGGGACUGAGACACGGCCCAGACUCCUACGGGAGGCAGCAGUAGGGAAUCUUCGGCAAUGGACGGAAGUCUGACCGAGCAACGCCGCGUGAGUGAAGAAGGUUUUCGGAUCGUAAAGCUCUGUUGUAAGAGAAGAACGAGUGUGAGGGUGGAAAGUUCACACUGUGACGGUAUCUUACCAGAAAGGGACGGCUAACUACGUG
rnacentral:rRNA from 1 species